UACGUAGGGUGCAAGCGUUAAUCGGAAUUACUGGGCGUAAAGCGUGCGCAGGCGGUUUUGUAAGACAGAGGUGAAAUCCCCGGGCUCAACCUGGGAACUGCCUUUGUGACUGCCCAGCUGGAGUACUGCAGAGGGGGAUGGAAUUCCGCGUGUAGCGGUGAAAUGCGUAGAUAUGCGGAGGAACACCGAUGGCGAAGGCGACCCCCUGGACCUGUACUGACGCUCAUGCGCGAAAGCGUGGGGAGCAAACAGGAUUAGAUACCCUGGUAGUCCACGCCCUAAACGAUGUCAACUGGUAGUUGGGGCUUAAGUGACUCAGUUUCGAAGCUAACGGGCGUAGUUCACCGGCUGGGGAAUACCGGCGCAAGGUUGAAACUCAAAAGAAUUGACCGGAACCCGCACAAGCGGCGGAUGAUGUGGUUUAAUUCGACGCGACGCGAAAAACCUUACCCACCCAUGUCAGGUACGGAACAGGCCAGAGAGGGUUUCGUCCUGGAAAGAGAGCCGGAACACAGAUGGCGCAUGUCAGUCGUCAGCUCGAGUCGUGAGAUGAAGGGCUAAGUCGCGCACCGAGCGCAACCCUUGCCAUCAGCAGGUAAGAAAGGGCACUCUAAGGGGACUGCCGGUGACAAACCGGAGGAAGGUGGGGAUGACGUCAAGUCCUCAUGGCCCUUAUAGGCGGGGCUACACACGUCAUACAAUGGCUGGUACAGAGGGUUGCCAACCCGCGAGGGGGAGCCAAUCCCAUAAAGCCAGUCGUAGUCCGGAUCGCAGUCUGCAACUCGACUGCGUGAAGUCGGAAUCGCUAGUAAUCGCGGAUCAGAAUGUCGCGGUGAAUACGUUCCCGGGUCU
rnacentral:rRNA from 1 species